rnacentral:rRNA from 1 species
GACGAACGCUGGCGGCGUGCCUAACACAUGCAAGUCGAACGGAAAGGCCCUGCUUUUGUGGGGUGCUCGAGUGGCGAACGGGUGAGUAACACGUGAGUAACCUGCCCUUGACUUUGGGAUAACUUCAGGAAACUGGGGCUAAUACCGGAUAGGAGCUCCUGCUGCAUGGUGGGCGUUGGAAAGUUUCGGCGGUUGGGGAUGGACUCGCGGCUUAUCAGCUUGUUGGUGGGGUAGUGGCUUACCAAGGCUUUGACGGGUAGCCGGCCUGAGAGGGUGACCGGCCACAUUGGGACUGAGAUACGGCGCAGACUCCUACGGGAGGCAGCAGUGGGGAAUAUUGCACAGUGAGCGGAAGCCUGAUGCAGCAGCGCCGCGUGCGGGAUGACGGCCUUCGGGUUGUAAACCGCUUUCGCCUGUGACGAAGCGUGAGUGACGGUAAUGGGUAAAGAAGCACCGGCUAACUACGUG